GCGCAGCCGCAGGUCGGGCGGGAACAGCGCGGGCAAGACGCGCGCUCCCUCCCUCCCUCCCUCACACACUCACACUCACACUCACACACACCGCACCGCACCGCACAACGCACACCUAACACCGGGACCGCGGGGCGGCACCUGGCUCAAGCCUGCGGCGGGGCCGUCACCCUCCCUCCCACCUGUGCCCGGCUCGGCCCGCACCCCCGAGGAAAAGCCUCCCCGGCCUGACUCCCCCGGCUCUGCUCGGAUGUGUCCGCACCGGGCCCAGAGGCGAGACCCCGCUCCCCAGGCUGGAGAGGGACAAGCCCUGCCCCACCUCGCUCUGCCCCCCCCGCCUCCAGCCGGGCCCUUCGCCCCCAAGGCCAGCGGGCUCCCCCAGCCCAGAGGGGCUGCUGCCAGGAUGGGGGAGAACAGAAGGUGGCUGGCUGCACCAAGGGCAAAAAAUAUAUGGGGGGGAGGAAAGAAAAGUUUCGACUUUAUAACGCUUGAACUGAUGCCACGCCAUGCCAGCGAACAAGUUAACUGUGUCGCUCAUCUCCCCAGAGAACAGCUGUCCAAACUUCCUUGGACACUUUCUUUAAGAAAAAAGACAAGACUCCAGAAAAACCUGCAGCCAAGACUCCAGCCAACAACCCUUCAAAAAGUUCAACCAAGAGCCCUUCAAAAAGUCCAGCAAAGUCACCUCAAAGAAAUCCUUCCAAAUCAAUAUGAUUGCUAUUUACAAUAAAAAUGCAUUAAUUAUCAUACAUUCUUACGAGAAAAUUGGUUCCGAGUUACAAUGUUUUGACAUAAGACAUGGUUUUCAGGAACCAAUUGUGUCAUAAAUCCGAGGACUGCCUGUAUAUAUCAUCAUUUAGAGCAGCGGUUCCCAAUCUCUGACAGAUUGGGCACCAAUUUAAAAUGAUACAAUCUUAAAUACAUUUUUCAGUUCAGCCUUAAGUACCUUAAGCAAAUUUUUGUCAUAUAAUUAUCCGUUAAUGGGUACCACUGAUAGGUUGUCUGUGUACCACUGGUUGUACCUGUACCACAGAUUGGGAAUCGCUGAUUUAGAGAGUAAAUAUUUUUUUAACAAAAAAGAAGGCUCACACACGCUGUAGCACUAGUACAGUAUUAUCAGCAGGACUACUGGGAUCUGCAUAUAUCCAUGUAUUGAGACUGCAAAUUUUAAUGUAAGUGGCCUGGUAUCUGUGGAUUGUGUCACUUUAAAAUAGAAAGCAUUUGUGUGAUCCCUAGCCUGUUUCACCCACUUCUGGAAUGGAGUUGUUCCCAGAGCCAGUCAAACAACAUUUUAUCGUAAGCCAGAAUCAGAUUGGAAAGGUGGUGAGGCCAGGUUAUAAGUGCAGUAUGCAUUAGGCAAGCUACUUAUCCUAGGAAUGAAAGCUACCAAUCAAUCACCCCGUGCAACAACCUGCAACCAGCUCUAACUGUUGUUAUUAUUAUUUACGUUAGAGUAGUUCUUCAAAUCUUUUAGGCUCUGUAAAGACAAAGGGAAAGAUGCUGACCCUGCCCUACAGGGCUUACAAACCAAAGGACAACAAACAGGUAUAAUGAGAAAAGGGAUGAGUGUGCUAGGUUAGGUUCUUUUUUCAUUAUUUUAAUCAGUAUCUUUGACUCAUAGGUCUUGAGGAAGGACUGAGGAUUAAGGAUAGAUCUGAGAGUGCAAGAGUAGCCUGGAAAUUCUGGAAAAGCAUUCUUUUUUUAGGGAUGGGACUGACAACUGAGAAGAGAUAACUGUUGUAGGAGCAGGUGAGUAGCACAGCCAGGGACAGAAAUGGCUGAAUAUGAAAGGGACAAGAAGCAUGGACAGAGCAGUCAGAAGAAGCAGAGAUGCAUGUGAUUUUGAGGCCUAGAUAUUAAACCUACAUGGAUGAGUAGAGGGAGGAAGCUUCAGCGGGACCAAUAUUGCCAUUGUCAUCAAUCCAAAACUUUGUGUUGGAUCCACCUUUCUUACACCUUGCUCAAAGCAAAUGCUGUCUUUGCUAAACAUUGUUCAGCAAAGACCCUGAUUUAUAGAACCAAAAAAUAUGCUCCGUUCACAUGAAAGGGAAAAAAAAGCGGUAUUGCCAAAUCUAAGUAUUACAAAAUUAUUAGUCAGGUCUGAAAGAUCAUUAAAUGGGCUUAAAUGCCAUGAAAUUUAAAAAUACCAGUAAUAAUAAUGUUUAGCUGCUUGUUGUCACCUCCUUUCAGUCUUUGAAGGGGAACAUUAGCAAGUUCUUUCCCACAACCAUAAGCCCUACAAAUUUAUUUCUAAAAAAAGAAGGCUAAGAUUCUCACAUCUUCACAUGUUGCGAGACUUGCAGUAAAAUUGCUAAAAAACGUGUGGGAAAAUAACUGAAUGUACCAUGUAUGUACUCAAAAAGUAAAUGAUAGUAUACAACAACAUGGACUGAGGUUGUUCUUUCGGGCAAAUCACUGAUUCAGUUUUUGAUUCAUAAAGCUUGCUUGCCUUUUGUUUUUUAAAGACGAUUCUAUGACAGACAAAGCAGAUGAUGUUGCUUUAAUUAAAUCCCUUGGCUCUCUCUGGUUGCUCAGAGCAACACUGUAAGUCCCUGGAGAAGAAUCUGAAAUAUUAUAUCAGGUUCAUAAAAAAAAACAACAACAAAAAAAGAUUUUCAUGGCACAUUGGAAGGUGAUAUCUAACAGGAAGUUCUUGGUGAAUUGAUGGCAUUGUUCUGCACCUUUUCUUUAUUUAUUCUGCAGGCUUCAUCUGUGCAUAACUAAGAGAUGUGUAAGGUUUUAUUUAUCAACCUGUAUUUAUUUUCUUAAUACAUGUUAUUCCUGGGUGGAUGAAUAGUUCAUAUUCCUAAUUUAAGAUGACAGUCUUAAAUGUCUUAAAGAUGACACUUUUAAAGAUAAACUGGUAAGGACAAAAAGCACAAUACUCACAGGCAGUCCAAGGGAGGUGGGGUGAAGCUGACUCAAAAGUCACUUUUGUAACAAGAACAGCCCAUGUGAGGAAAGAAUGUUUAAUGUCUACCUGAGAAAUGACACAGUUGUGUUUGUGCCUUUUCAGGUAGCUUGCUAUUGUGAUACAGGUGGAACUCCCUCUGCGGAUACUCCUAUUCCAGUAUAAAAGUGGCUUUUAUGGCUUAGCUAAUAUCAGUGAUAUAAACUAUAUCCGAAAAAAAGCUCUUUUUAUCCUGGAACAGAAUUAUCUACCUGGGCUUUUGUACUAUUAUAGCUAUAGUGGUAAAUGCCCAUAGUAUAACUUCCCAUGCAGACAAGUCUUAAGUUAUUCCAGCCGGUCACCUGGCUCCCUGUGGGCCACAGCAUUGCCUAUACCCUGGUUGCAUGCUAUGACCCCACUUCCCACAAUAUGGAUGGUUACUUGUCAAGCAGCCUUACAGUUGUGCUUCCAAGUUUCUAGUAUAGGAGUAUCUUUCACAGGCUGCAAUUCAGAGCUUUUAGAGCACUGUGAUGUCACUCUAGCCUCUUUUCCCGCUAAAAGGAGGGCACUGAGGAAUCUUACUCAAAGUUUUAAUUUAUCUUAUAUUGCUGGGGAUCUUCUCCAGACCAGAGAAUUGAAGUAGGCGCUUUCUCAACCUAAAACUGAAAGAGGAGAGGGGAUGAAGUUUAAGUCUUUAGAAAAGGAAAACAGUUAAAUUAUGUGGUUGGAAUUCCAGCCUUGCAUACACACCAUAGGAUCGCACUAAAACAAGCAUUUCUUUUCAAAGGGACAACCUAGCUUCAGUCCUCCAGCUUCACCACUCAGCACCUCUGCUUCCCCAUGCAGGCUAUACCUACAACGCUCAGACAUUCCAGUCUUGGGAUUCUCUGGAGUAGCAACUAAUAAUUGUGUCAAAUGGACAGAUGAGCACAGAUGCCUUCUGCUUAUUCUGCUUUCCCCUGCCCAGCCUACACCCAAUGCAACUACAUUUAUUUGCAUCUAUCCUCUUUGAUUGCUGCAGACAGUUUGCAGCAAUUUAGCAAAGUGUAAACUUUCACAUGGGCAGCAGCAGCUGCAGGACUGUGUCUUUCCUGAUGGAAAUGUGAAUUCUGUAAUUGGAGAACAGUACCUACCAAAUAGGCUUGUUGUGUAGGCAAGAUGAUAUUUCUGCUGAUAUUCUGCUUGAACAUGUCUGAUGUGGCAAACUCAGGCUUUUGAGUAGGAGUUAUGUGUUGUUGUUAACUAUUACUCAUUCUCUUGCUUGUCCUUGCUCUGGAUUUCAUUGUUUUGGGUGUGGUUUAUCUUAAGGUGAGAGUUAUUUAAUAUACUGUGGUUUAUUUUAAGGUGAAGAGGAGGAGAAGUUUCCUCUCUGUCCAGGAUGCCAUUAAAUUUUUGGUGCAGAGAUGCAUUUUUUGUUACUGAGAUUUUAGAAGGUGCCAGGUGGGAGCUGUCUCAGCUUAAUCUACAUUUUACAUCUUUACUGGGGCAAAGCAUCUCAAUGACUGCUGUGAGUUUAAUUAAGUAAAAACUGUAUAGAGAUCUUAGGAUUCUGCCUGUUUUGUUCUGUAGAUCUGUUAGGCUAGGGACAGAAAUUGCACAUAAACUGGUAUAAAUGUGUCACAACCCAAAGUUGUGAGUUUUUGUUUGUGUGUGCUUCGGUGUUGCUAAAUUAUGUUCCUGCUAAAUUGCAGCUUCCUUGCAUGGUGGAGUUCUCUGCUGCAGAAGAGAACCCUAGUGCAACGGAGAAUUUCCCGCCAAUUUGUAGCUUUCUUUGCAUGGUGCAUUUCUUUUGCAUCUCAGAAAUGCACGGUGCAAAGGAGUUCCCGCCAUUUGUAUGAAGAUUCGUGCCAUGUCAUUGGCCGAUUCUAAUACAUGCACACGUGGCGGCUAGUUAUUGGCUUGCUAGCCGUAUAAAGAGCUUGGGUGGUUUCUGCCCAAGUUGGAGAACUCCGAGGAGACCCCCGCAAGGGAAGACUCCACGAACACCAGGAGGAGGAGACUUCGCACUGUGUGAAGAUCUCUAAGCGUUGCGGAUCCUCACGGACCCAACGCAUUUCUUAAGCAGGCAACAGAGGUCUAAACAGCCUCUGGCCUCUCCCCGUCGCCGAGCGCAAUCCUAGAUGUAUCCCUUUCCUAUAUACUCAAGAUCCGAACCCACGGAGCUUUAAUAACUCCGGGGCCAGAGAGCCGAACCAAACCCACGGAGCUUCGACAACUCCGUGGGAAAGAAAUUGCCGAACCCGCGGAGCCUUAACAACUCCGGGGCCAAAAAAACGAAUUUGUCGUAGUCCUCCAACGAGGAUUUAAGCGGAGCUGCACCUGGAAAACUGUCCAGCCUACACCGCGACCAUCUUGGGUGUAAGUAAAUAAUCUUUAAAUCAA